AUCAAACGUCAUUCUUCCCGCUCUCUAACUAUCUCACUAUGCUUUUUGAACAUUAAGCCCUCGACGAUAUCCUUACUGACUUGAACGUCAAAUAAGUGUCAUCAAAGAAUCUUUAAUAUAUUUUAUCACCAAGACCAAAGAGACAUCCUUCUUCUUCCCCUUCCCCCUUUAUCAUUUGCUACUUGAAUUUCUAUAUAUGGGCUCUCCCUUAUCUGAUUCUUCUUCAGCAGAUCCUGAUUUGGAGUUGGAAGCUUCGAACACCUGACUGACUUUCUACUGGAACUCGUACACGAGGAGCUACUGCAGCAUCGACACUCGGCACAAGACCAAGACUAAGAACUAGAGCACCAACAACAGAUACAAACUUAGGCUUUCGAAAGGAAAGGUGAGCUUACAGAGCUCAACGUGUUGCGCUAACGGAGGGCGGUAGAGACGAGUAUUCCAAAUUCCAUUCUUAAAAGGGCGAACAUGAGUUUGUGCCAGCAGUCAGAAGUAGCGAGUUAGCUGGUAGCUUCGGAGUCGAGGAAUCAAUUAGUG
rnacentral:lncRNA from 1 species